UAUAAAUAGGUACAGCAGGGCAUGGGAGGACUGACUGCUUUGGGAGUGCAUUAGGACAGUUUGCAGUGCAAUCAUGAGAGCUGUGGUGUUUACAUGCGUCAACUCUACCUCCUCUAAGACACCGAGGAAUGGGGGUGAGGGAAGCAAUGAGAGAGAGAAAAUCAGAGAGAGAGUGCAUGCAUAACACUUUUGAAGACAGGCACAACGCUCUCAACCACUGCAGGAGGUAAUUGUAAGAUGCCAACUGACCAGCAGUAGUCAAAACUCUGGAAAUCACAGAACAUUAAUUCAGUGCUACUGAGACAUAAGAAGAUAGAGAAGUAUUAUAUGUGCUUCUGAUAAGGUAUUUCUUAAUAUGUGCUCUUUCCACAUAUUAAAUUC